GGGCUGGCUACCUGUAACUGACGAGAAAAAGGCAACCCUUUCAUUACCGUCCAAAAAACUACUACUCCAUAGUCCAUACUCCAUAACCUGCAAAAGUUGCAAUGCAAUCAGCUUUUGUACUGGCACGUGUCAUUAUUUUAAAUAAAUUCUACCUAAUUUAAUUUCUGCAUUUAAAAAAAAAGCUACUGCAACAGUAAUAAUACAACAAACAAACAAAUAAAUAAUAAUAAUAAAAGGAAAUAAUUUCUUCCAAAAAAGCUAGGCUUUAAUUAUUUUUUGCCCCUCUCACCACCUCUUUCGUUGCUUGUCCUUCCAUUUUCAGUCUGUGAAAGAGACCCUGACUCGGUCUCAGACUCGGACUCGGCUGUGGGCUGUGCUUUGCUGUACCUUAUCUCCUUUCUUUUUCAGGAUCUUUAAUCCUUC
rnacentral:lncRNA from 1 species